AUGGGUGUAGCUCAGUUGGUAGAGCAGCGGUCUCCAAAGCCGCGCGUCGGAGGUUCGAGCCCUUCCACCUGUG
rnacentral:tRNA from 1 species